rnacentral:rRNA from 1 species
AAAGCGAUGCUAGAAGAUGGGCCCGCGUCCCAUUAGCUAGUUGGUGAGGUAACGGCACCAAGGCGACGAUGGGUAGCCGACCUGAGAGGGUGAACGGCCACACUGACUGAGACACGGCCCAGACUCCUACGGGAGGCAGCAGUAGGGAAUUUGGCAAUGGGCGAAAGCCUGACCGAGCAACGCCGCGUGAGGGAAGAAGGUUCGGAUCGUAAACCUUUGUCUUUAGGGACGAUAAUGACGGACCUAAGGAGGAAGCCACGGCUAACUACGUGCCAGCAGCCGCGGUAACGUAGGUGGCAAGCGUUGUCCGGAAUUACUGGGCGUAAAGGGCGUGUACGGUCUUUUAAGUCAGGCGUGAAAACUAUGGGCUUAACCCGAUAGAUUGUGAGACUGA